CAACUUCCCCGGUCAGGGAACGCAGGUGGGGGCGGGAUGGGGUGGAGGGAGCCACACCAGGGACCCGGUUCCGGCAAAGCAUAAUACCACUGACUUCGGAAACAGAAAUGCCCUCCAGCGAGCUAAGAGAAAAACCAACUGACCAAGCCGCCAGACCCAGCGCGCUCAGGAGGGUCUCCUCAACUUUGCCAGCAGGGCGCUGCCGGGGUCAGGCGGUCGCCUCUUGAGAACUGGGUGGAGGUCUGUUGGGACAAAUCUUAAGUACAGACACAAGGUGGACCUGUGACCUCAUUUAAAAGAAAAUUAACCACAUUAAAUCAGAAAAAGGAGCUUCUCUGAGACCCCACAGCGAGUCUGGGGCGAAGUCCCUGACUUCCGGGCAGGGUCCCUCCUGCUCUCGUCCCUUGUGCUGCCCCAGGUGUCGUUCCCGACCCGGCCCUGUCCGCCGAGGUUUCAGCACUACGGAGGAGGACAGUGCCAACUCCGACACCCAUCUUCUCAACCUCACCGACCGCAUCUCCGCGGGCUCCUAGAGGCGAGGAUUCAGCACCAUGGACAGAUCUGACUUCCUCCCCCGCCCUCGCCGCUUGGGAGCCAGCGCCGAAGGCCGCCCACACUCUCUCCAGACCACAGAUAAGGACACUGAAGCGCAGAGAGAUAAAGCAACCAUACAAGGUUGCAAAGGGAGGCAGGGCUGAGGCCGGAUGUGAAAGGAUGCCUCCUCAGCCCACAUUCCUCUUCUGUGUAAUUCUGCCUCCUUUCUGCUCUGCGAACCAAGUGCCAACGGCAGACACUGUGGAAGCUGAGAGCCUAGUGGUGGCACAAGGUAAACGAAAACUAUUCCAGGAAACCGUCUCUAGGAAUUCGCUAGGGUGGGUUGACUGUUGUCAUUCCUUUCACUCUGGGAGUGCUCCAGGAGGUAGGACGCUUCCCAUCCCUGGAGGCAAUUAAACAAGCAUCUAGUGGUCACAUGGAUGCCAGGAGGCAAAUAUCACUGCGAGUUCUUUUACCCAAAUGAAGCUCAGAAGGCAAACAUCACCUUAAGUAUUUCAGCCAGGAAAGAUGAUCUUUUCAAAGUCCCCCUCAUCCCCGCCACUGCCCAAGGCAGGGGAGCUGGCACUGCCCCCCACCUCUGACCUAAGCUCCCUGGAGAGUCCCCACCCUCCCCUUGACUCAGGGAGGCCACCCUCCCUUUCCUCCUUGCGAGGUGUCACUUGAGCACCAUGGCUUUGUCAGUGGUAACAGCCGUAAGAUUUGUCCUUUUAAUCCAGAAUCAAUAACAAAUUUCAUUUAAAAAUAAAUUAAACCAGGCAUUGGAAAUCAUUCACCGUGUGGGCCAGGGCCCUAUAUAGUGCCGUCUAAAUGGCUUCCUUCUGCUCAUCUAUCAAUGCCAGUCCGGGGGAAAUACCUAAGCUGCCUGAUUCAUGGAGAAACUACUUGAAUGUAUCAGCCCCUAACAAUGAGCAAUUGAGCCCCGAGUUGCACCUUUUAACACACCAAUAACAUGUGGAGCACGGCUUCAUGAGAGCUUAUCAGAGCCCCCACGGUCACUGGCUUGGAGGGGCCCAUUUAUAAGGGGGAACAAUGGCUUCAGUAUGUAGCCGCCUAAUUUCCAGAAUGCAUUACUGAGCUCAGAGGAGCCAUGGAAUUCUAUUAAACUCUUAUCUGCCAUGGGAGGCUAUGAAACCGGCAGGGAAAGCCAGACUUGGCAGACACAUGCCCAGAAACACCAGGGCUGACCCGAGGAGGUGGGUGAACAAACCCAGAGGGAAAGGGGGAGCAGGAGGGGCCCCGGAUGGGUGAAAAUAUGUGCGUUAAUAGAGCUCCGGUUUCCAGCGACUACGUUUACAUCAGCGAAUAAAACUUGGCAAUAAACCAUCGGAGCUGCGUCUCAGACAGCGUUUCCUUUUACAGCCCGGUAUAUUUCACUCAUUAUAACAUGAGGCAAGGAGCUCGAGGUGUCCUCAUUUCUCCCCCUUUAAUUAAAUUUCCUAAAUUACUGCCCAAGAUUUGGAUAAAGCAAAAGACUUACAGCUCUACUAAUCGCCACCGCGGCUCCCACCCCAUCAUGGUGGUGGCCCUGACUGUACCAUUUUCCAAUAUUAUUAAAGUGAAAUA